rnacentral:rRNA from 1 species
AGUGAACGCUGGCGGUAGGCCUAACACAUGCAAGUCGAACGGCAGCACAGUAAGAGCUUGCUCUUACGGGUGGCGAGUGGCGGACGGGUGAGGAAUACAUCGGAAUCUACUUUUUCGUGGGGGAUAACGUAGGGAAACUUACGCUAAUACCGCAUACGACCUACGGGUGAAAGCAGGGGAUCUUCGGACCUUGCGCGAUUGAAUGAGCCGAUGUCGGAUUAGCUAGUUGGCGGGGUAAAGGCCCACCAAGACGACGAUCCGUAGCUGGUCUGAGAGGAUGAUCAGCCACACUGGAACGGAGAAACGGUCCAGACUCCUACGGGAGGCAGCAGUGGGGAAUAUUGGACAAUGGGCGCAAGCCUGAUCCAGCCAUACCGCGUGGGUGAAGAAGGCCUUCGGGUUGUAAAGCCCUUUUGUUGGGAAAGAAAAGCAGCAGGUUAAUACCCCGCUGUUCUGACGGUACCCAAAGAAUAAGCACCGGCUAACUUCGUG